GACGAUCGCUGGCGGCGUGCUUAACACAUGCAAGUCGAACGGAAAGGCCCCUUUGGGGGUACUCGAGUGGCGAACGGGUGAGUAACACGUGAGUAACCUGCCCUUGACUUCGGGAUAACUUCAGGAAACUGGGGCUAAUACCGGAUAGGAAUCCUUGCUGCAUGGUGGGGGUUGGAAAGCUUCGGCGGUUUUGGAUGGACUCGCGGCUUAUCAGCUUGUUGGUGGGGUAGUGGCUUACCAAGGCUUUGACGGGUAGCCGGCCUGAGAGGGCGACCGGCCACAUUGGGACUGAGAUACGGCCCAGACUCCUACGGGAGGCAGCAGUGGGGAAUAUUGCACAAUGGGCGGAAGCCUGAUGCAGCAACGCCGCGUGCGGGAUGACGGCCUUCGGGUUGUAAACCGCUUUCAGCAGGGGCGAAGCUUGUGGUGACGGUACCUGCAGAAGAAGCACCGGCUAACUACGUG
rnacentral:rRNA from 1 species